GCUAACUAAGUGUCUAUGCACAUUGAUUUUUCACGUCAAAGGAGCACACAUGUGCAUUUAGCU
rnacentral:tRNA from 1 species